rnacentral:rRNA from 1 species
CCUACGGGUGGCAGCAGUGGGGAAUAUUGCACAAUGGGGGAAACCCUGAUGCAGCGACGCCGCGUGAGUGAAGAAGUAAUUCGUUAUGUAAAGCACUAUCAGCCGGGAAGAAGAUGACGGUACCUGAGUAAGUAGCACCGGCUAACUACGUGCCAGCAGCCGCGGUAAUACGGAGGGGGCAAGCGUUAGCCGGAUUUACUGGGGGAAAAGGGAGCGUAGACGGCAGUGCAAGUCUGGAGUGAAAGGCGGGGGCUUAACCCCCGGACUGCUCUGGAUACUGGACGGCUGGAGUGCAGGAGAGGUAAGUAGAAUUCCAAGUGUAGCGGUGAAAUGCGUAGAGAUGAGGAGGAAUACCAGUGGCGAAGGCGGCCCACUGGACAGUAACUGACGUUGAGGUGCGAAAGCGUGGGGAGCAAACAGGAUUAGAUACCCGGGUAGUC